GAAACUCAAAUCCAUGAAGACCCGAAUGUGGCUCUUUUCUUUCUGGAAAAGGAUAUGCACCCCGGGGCAACAAUGAGCCUGCAUUUCACUGAAAAUACAGAGAAAUCAGCUUUCUUACCUUAUCAAACUGCCCAAAAAAUACCGUUUUCAUCUGACAAGUUGCCAGAAAUUUUCAACAAGUUUUCAGUGAAACCUGGAUCACUGAAGGCAGAGAUGAUGAAGAACACAAUUAAGGAGUGCGAACAGCCAGCGAUUGAAGGAGAGGAAAAAUAUUGUGCAACCUCACUGGAGUCAAUGAUUGACUAUAGCAUUUCCAAACUAGGGAAAGUUGAUCAGGCAGUCUCAACAGAAGUGGAAAAACAAACCCCAACGCAGCAGUAUACAAUAACAGCUGGAGUGCAGAAGAUGACAAAUGGCAAAGCUGUAGUGUGCCACAAGCAGAAUUAUGCAUAUGCUGUCUUCUAUUGUCAUAAAUCAGAAACAACAAGGGCUUACAUGGUUCCUUUAGAGGGUGCUGACGGAACAAAAGCCAAAGCAGUAGCAGUCUGCCACACAGAUACAUCAGCAUGGAACCCUAAGCAUUUGGCUUUUCAAGUCCUAAAAGUUGAGCCAGGAACCAUUCCUGUCUGCCAUUUCCUUCCUCGGGAUCACAUUGUUUGGGUCCCUAAGUAAAAGUCCUGAAGAGUAGAUUCAUACACUAUAGUUUCUUCACAGUGUGCAUUAAAACAGCUUAAAGCAAUAUCCAGUUUGUUCUAUAAUAAUAUACCCACAAGUUUAGUCAUGUAAAAUCUAUCCAUGAAUCAUGUUCUUAGUAAUGGAUAAAAUGAUAUUACUUUCUGUAUCACAAGGGUUUGGUGAUAAAUGUAUUAGUAUUUUAAGUAACUUUUCAGACAUCGUAUUCCAAGUAACUUUGCGGACAUUAUGUUUCUCCAUUAGAUUACUAAUUCUCUUUCAUCACAGAUUAGCCAUCUCCACAGGAAAAUUCUCUGAAGGUAAACUAUCAUGUUCAUCACUCGAUUGCAAUCCGAGAAGAAAUUGUUUUUCCUAUGUCCCAAUAGCAGAAAAAUUUUGGACCAAUUUACAUGAUACAUAUGAGAAUUUUCUAAACAGAGUGUCAUGUCAUGUAUCUCGAAGGAUGCUAACUUAAUAUAGUAAGACCAGCAUUAAAAUCUUUUCAGAUAUGAGUAGGUUCCAAAGUACUCAAAUUUGAGCACCUGUACGGAACAAACCAUUGUGUGCACUGUGCAGCUCUUCGUGUCUGAUUCCUCCACCACUGUGAUGAGCAGCUGCAGCAUCCUCAGUGGCUAACCUCAGGCCCUUGAAAGACUUAUUCAACAGAUUAUGGUGAUAAGUCAAAUAAUUAUAAAUGAUGUCGGCUCCACGGAUCCUUUUAUUCCUGCAAUGCGGAUAAAUGCCCAAGAAUGUUUUAUAAUUAGAAAUGCCUGGAGAAACAAACAAAACCUAUUGGUUAGUUGUGUAAUAUAAUUAUAUACGUGUAUAUGUAUAUAUAGAAACAUGAUUCAUGAGGUUGCUUUAAUCAUUUUCUUCCCCAAUAAUCUGAGUUUUACUGCUCUCUAAUGAUUAUUACUAUCCAAUAAAGAAAAAUGACUUCUUAAACCAAUGUUGGUUUGCCAAAAAAAUAAUCCAACAACAAUAUUUGUUUUCUGAUCACCAAAUUGCAGUGCUGAAAUUUUUUUUAAACGAGUGGAUGACACAAAUCUCCACCAAAGCAAAUGGUUAUGAAACAAAUGGGGUCUUAAUGAAGUGGGGGCAAGGGGUGUUGUUCCAAUAGGGUCGGAAGCGUGUAAAUUAUUGUACUAAAAAAUCACACAAAGUUCAAUUCUCAGGGAAGAGAGGUGGAUCACAUGGAUCUCUUAAAUACCAAGUCUUUCCUUAGACAGAAUAUCCCUUCUAUAGUAAUUUAAUAGCACAAUUAAAUACUACUAUUAUACCCUCAAAUAUUGAAAGAAAAAUAGGACAAGAAAGAACACAAGAGUUUUAACGAGGUUCGGUAAAUUAUACCUACGUCCUCGGGCACUAACACCAGAUGAUAACUUUACUAACUUCAAAGUAUUACAAACAAAUAGAAUUCCUUAAGAAUUCUCAAAUGGGAGAAAAAGAAAACUAAGAGAGAAAGAUUGGUUGGGAUGAAUUGAAAUGAGAAAUGAGAAGGCCUAUUUAUAGUUGAGGUUCAAGGACCAAACAAUAAAUAGCCCAUUAUCUCAAGGACCAAAAAAAAAUUAUCCUUGCCACUUUUCCAAAGUUGGUGGUUGUCAUUAUUGAUUGUCUCCCAUUAAUGUUAAUGGCAACCAUUAUUAAUUGUCUUCCAUUAAUGUUAACAAUCUCCACCUUGAAGAUUUGAUUAGGAUAAUCACAUCUUCACACACUUCCUUCAACUCCCCAAAUUCGAUAAAGCUAUCUUUUGUAGUGCCUACAAAUGCGCUCUCGAGCGCCAUACACCUGAAGGUGCUCAAAUUCUCAGUAUGUUAAUCAAGUUCAAACAAUGAUUAAACUUGAUUGUUGUUACCACCUUGGUCAUCAUAUCUGCGGGAUUAUCUGCUGUCGGAAUCUUCUGAAGUAGAAUUUUUCCUUUUUCAAAGACUUCCCGCACAAAGUGAUAUCUUACGUCGAUAUGCUUGGUUCUUGAAUGAUAGACUUGAUUUUUCGCUAAAUGAAUAGCGCUCUGACUGUCACAAUAUAAACUUAUGUGACUUUGAACAACUCCUAAGUCUUUCAACAAUCCAUUAAGCCAAAUAGCCUCCUUAACAGCUUCUGUAACUGCCAUAUAUUCUGCCUUUGUAGUAGACACAGCUACUGUAGACUGUAAGGUAGACUUCCAACUCACUAGGGCUUUCGCAAGAGUAAACAGAUACCCCGUAGUUGAACGACGUUUAUCUAAAUCACCAGCAAAGUCGGAAUCAACAUAUCCAACUACAAACUGACCAAGUGCUUCAUCCUGUUCAAAAAUUAAACCAACAUCUACGAUUUUUCGAAGAUACCGUAGAAUCCAUUUCACAGCUUGCCAAUGUCCUUUUUCAGGAUCAUGCAUAUACCUGCUCACAACUCCAACAGCUUGUGAAAUGUCAGGCCUCGUACACACCAUCGCAUACAUCAAACUCCCAACUGCAUUAGCAUAUGGGACUUUCGCCAUAUAUUCUCUUUCAUCUUUAGUCUUCGGAGAUAAUUGAGCACUAAGUUUCAAAUGAGAAGCAAGUGGGGUACUUACAUGUUUUGUGUUUUCAUUUACACCAAAACAUUGUAAUACCUUUUUCAGAUAUUGCUUCUGAUUUAAACAGAGCUUGCCUCUCGGUCUAUCUCUACUUAUCUCCAUGCCGAGAAUCUUCUUGGCCUCACCUAGAUCUUUCAUCUCGAACUCUUGAUUCAACUGAGCCUUCAGCUUAUCUAUCUCAUUUUGGCUCUUCGAAGCGAUUAACAUAUCAUCAACAUACAAGAGUAGAUAAAUGAAAGAUCCGUCAUGCAGCUUCUGCAAAUAUACACAAUUGUCAUAUUUGCUUCUUGUGUACUUUUGCCUUCUCAUAAAGCUAUCAAAUCGCUUGUACCACUGCCUCGGGGAUUGCUUCAAUCCAUAUAGCGAUUUGUUAAGCUUACAAACCCAAUUUCUACCACCAGCAUCUGUGUAUCCUUCUGUCUGAGUCAUAUAGAUCUCCUCUUCUAACUCACCAUGCAAGAAAGCCGUCUUAACAUUGAGCUAGCUCCAAAUUCAACUGUGCUACCAAGGCCAACAAAAUUCUAAUGGAGGAAUGCUUCACAACAGGGGAAAAUACAUCAUUGUAGUCAAUUCCCUCCUUCUGAGCGUAGCCUUUAGCUACCAAUCUUGCCUUGUAGCGAAUAUCCUUCUUGCUAGGAGAUCCAUCUUUCUUUGCGAAUACCCACUUGCAUCCGAUUGCCCUUUUACCUUUCGGUAAUUGCGCCAACUCCCAAGUAUUGUUCUUCCGGAGAGACUGCAUUUCUUCAUCCAUGGCGCUUUUCCAUUUAUCACUUUCUAAGCUUUGCAUUGCUUCUUGAUAAGUGAUAGGAAUAUCAUCAACAACGAGAAGGGCGUAGGCCACCAUAUCAGUAAAUCGAGUAGGUUUACGAAUUUCUCUCCGUGGCCUUGCAACUGCAACUGGUUCUGGUGUACUUAGUGGUUCUUGGGUCAGAACCUCUUCAACCUCUAAUUCCUCCAUUGUGGCUGGAGAAUUAGACUUAUUGACUGGGCAAAUCCCCAUCUGCUCAAACUCCACCUGUUUUGGAGUACACUCCACCUGCUGUGGAGUAUUGCUCGUCUGAAUAUCUUUAUCUGCUACCUUUUUCAAUGUGGCAGAUUCAUCAAAGGUAACAUCUCUGCUACAAAUCAUUUUCUUUGUGCUUAAGCACCAAAGACGAAAUCCCUUCACUCCAGAAGUGAUUCCUAUAAAGAGAGCUUUCUUUGCCCUCGGAUCUAAUUUUGACUCCUUUACAUGGUAAUAUGUAGUGGUUCCAAACACAUGUAAGGAAUCAUAAUCUGUAGCCGGUUUUCCAGACCAUACCUCCAUAGGAGUUUUUCUUUCUAAUGCAGAUGAUGGCAAACGAUUAACAAGAUGGCCAGCGUAUGUCACAGCCUCAGCCCAAAAUUGCUUGCCCAACCCAGCAUUGGACAACAUACAUCGAACUUUCUCCAGCAAUGUUCGAUUCAUACACUCUGCCAAUCCAUUCUACUGUGGUGUAUCCCUAACUGUGAAGUGUCGAACAAUACCAUACUCUUGGCACACAUCGAAGAACGGAUCACUUUUAUAUUCCCCUCCAUUGUCCAUCCUAAGCCGCUUGAUUUUCUUGCCAGUCUGGUUUUCGAUCAUAGUUUUCCAUUUAAGAAAAACUCUAAGCACUUCAUCCUUAGUUCUCAUGGUAUACACCCAAACUCUUCUGGAAAAGUCAUCAACAAAAGUAACAAAGUAGUGUUUUCCUCCCAAUGAACGUGUCUUGGAAGGCGCCCACACAUCUGAGUGAACAUAUUCCAAAAUACCUUUUGUAUUAUGGAUAACAGUACCGAAUUUCACUCUCUUUUGCUUUCCCAGAACACAAUGCUCGCAAAAUUUUAAUUUGCAAGCCUUUGCACCUUUCAACAAUCCUUGCUUUGCCAGAAUUUGCAAGGAUUUUUCGCUGGCAUGUCCCAACUUCAUAUGCCACAACUGUAUUGAGUCCAAUUCUUUGUUGCCGGAAGCUGCAGCGACUGCUCCAAUAACUGUACUACCUUGGUAGUAAUACAAGUUAUUUUUCCUGAUGCCCUUCAAUAUCACAAGUGCGCCAGAUGUCACUUUCAAAACCCCAUCUCUCAUAGUAACAACUGAACCAUUGGAUUCCAAGGCUCCCAAUGAGAUGAGAUUUUUCUUCAAACUGGGCACGUACCGAACAUCAGUCAGAACUCUGGUUGAUCCAUCUUUAUUCUUUAAUUGGAUUGAACCUAUCCCAACAGUUUUACAGGCAUUGUCAUUGCCCAUAUAAACAACUCCUCCAUUUAGUUCUACUAAAUCAGAGAACCACUCCCGGUUAGGGGACAUAUGAUAGGUACAACCCGAAUCCAAUAUCCACUCAUCUGAAUGGAACGACGAUGAUGAUGCAACCAGUGAUAGUUCAGAGUCACUAGUAUCAUGCUUAGCAACACAAGCAUCUAUAGCAGCUUUUCCCUUAUUCUUCAGCUUUGGACAAUUUUUAUUCCAGUGGCCUUUCUCAUGAUAAAAAGCACAUUCAUCUUUCCCAAGUCUGGACUUUGACUUUGAUCUCCCCUUUUGAGUUUUCUUCCGAGUGUAUGAACGACCUCGGACUACUAAAGCUUCUGUAUCUCUGAUUGAGUUUUUCUGUUUGUCCUUCUUUCUCUGUUCAUAACUGUAUAAGGCCGCACAGACUUCGCUCAGAGAUAUAUCACUCCUGCCAUGAAGUUGAGUAGUUUCUAGGAACUCAAACUCCUCAGGAAGUGACCCCAACAGCAUCAAAGCCAAAUCUUCAUCUUUGAAUGUCUCAUCCAUAUUCAACAAAUCAGUGACUAACUGAUUAAAUUUGGUGAUGUGAUCAUUCAUUGUGGUACUUGGGACGUAUGUGAAGCGAAAUAGUCUUUUCUUCAAGUGGAGCUUAUUUUGACUGUUUUUCUUCAAAAAAAAUUUUUCAAGUGCCACCCACAACUUAUUUGCAGAAGUCUCCUUUGAAAAAGCAUACCUCUGCUCUCGAGAAAGGCAUGAUCGAAUUGUGCCACAUGCCAACCGAUUGAUUGCCUUCCAAUCUUUCUCCUAUACAUCAUCUGGUUUCUCUUCAUCAAUGGCAAUGUCUAGACCCUGCUGAAAAAGGGCAUCUAGAACAUCACUUUGCCACAUACCAAAAUGGCCCGUACCAUCAAAGAUCUCCACGGCCAAUCUUGCAUUUGCAAUUGUCGGUCUUGUCCACAUGGACGAUGUUGAAGCUCCUACACUGACCGUUUUCUCCAUAAUCUUUCAAUAUACCUAAGGAAAUCUUUUCUGAUGUGGAAGAUCAGUUUAAACUGCAACCACAGAGCAUACUACGAUUAACCUUCGGCUCUUGAUACCACUUGUUGUUCCAAUAGGGUCGGAAGCGUGUAAAUUAUUGUACUAAAAAAUCACACAAAGUUCAAUUCCCAGGGAAGAGAGGUGGAUCACAUGGAUCUCUUAAAUACCAAGUCUUUCCUUAGACAGAAUAUCCCUUCUAUAGUAAUUUAAUAGCACAAUUAAAUACUACUAUUAUACCCUCAAAUAUUGAAAGAAAAAUAGGACAAGAAAGAACACAAGAGUUUUAACGAGGUUCGGUAAAUUAUACCUACGUCCUCGGGCACUAACACCAGAUGAUAACUUUACUAACUUCAAAGUAUUACAAACAAAUAGAAUUCCUUAAGAAUUCUCAAAUGGGAGAAAAAGAAAACUAAGAGAGAAAGAUUGGUUGGGAUGAAUUGAAAUGAGAAAUGAGAAGGCCUAUUUAUAGUUGAGGUUCAAGGACCAAACAAUAAAUAGCCCAUUAUCUCAAGGACCAAAAAAAAAUUAUCCUUGCCACUUUUCCAAAGUUGGUGGUUGUCAUUAUUGAUUGUCUCCCAUUAAUGUUAAUGGCAACCAUUAUUAAUUGUCUUCCAUUAAUGUUAACAAGGGGUGUCUUCAGAUGCAUAUGAAUUUGGUUUACAGGCGAGAUAGAUCACAAAUAUUAUAUUGAUAAAAAAAAUUGAUAUCGUUCGUGGAAAAUCAUUAGUGGAAUGAAGGAGUUAAAGUUCACAUGUUAUUCAUAGAAUGAAUUGAAAGAGUUGAGAGUUUUGAGAGAGAAUUUCAGAAAAAUAAUAAGUGGGAUGUGCAUGUUUUUCUAGAUUAUUUGAAGGCAUGUACGUAAUUAUGCACAACUUAUGGAAUAUAAGUGUUUUAUAUGUAUAAUAUAUUUAUUAAGUUACGAUGAAUCCUUUCACACGUUACUUUUAAAGUUAUGUAAAGUCUUAUUUUUAUAAGUAGUUUUAAGUUAAUAUUAAUGUGAUUGGACGAGACCCACAUAUUGAACAUAUAAAAAAAGUAUCGAUAAUCAUGUAAAAUAAAAUGUAAUCUUCAAAGUAAGUGAAUUUUUUUAAUCAAAAUGGAUUGACUUGACGAAAUUUUUUAAAACGAAAUAAAUAAAUAUCAUCUUACAUAUAUUUAUAUAUGUGUGCAAUAUACAUAAAUGUACCCUUAGCCCACCAAAACUUUCUUUCGCAAAUUUUAGACGGCGAACCAAAACCAAGGUACCUAACCACGUCCUACAAACCAGAUGUUCGUAUAGGUUAGAUGCAGGAUUAAGAAGCCACAACCUAUAAGGCUAAAACUUGCCACAUGCCCAUAUGACAUCUUACUUUCAAAAAAAAGAAAAAACAUGACAUUCAACUCAAAUCCUAUACAAAUACCUUUAUUUGUAAGAAGAAAUUUUCUCAUUUAUUGACUAUAAUUAUUAGAUUUUACAAGUAAAAUUUACAAAGUGGCACAGAUAUUUAGUCCAAUGAUAAAUCCGCUUUAUAGAUGAAAAGUAUAAAAAAUUAUAUAUUUUUCUUUUAAAUGAAAGCUAAAUUAAAAAAAAAACAAUUAUAUGGCUGAUUGUUUUUAUUGUAUUUUAAAAAAAGUUAAGUGAGUAGGUUUUUUACCCUGUGAUUCCCAAAAAAAAUGUUGUCAUCGAGGAUUGUUACCUAUACACAGAUAAAUUCAAGGAAAACUAUUUCAUGCAAGCUAAUCAUAUUUAAAAGCAAGCAAAGGGUCGUAAACAUUGUAGAUUGGAGCAUUUCAUGAAACAUAGUUACAAGCUAGAGUAUCAUCCCAUGACCCAUAGCAGUCUUCUAUAUUAUUGGGUUUUUGCAAACUUGGGCUUGAAUACACAAAUAGAAUAUAAUCACAGAAAACUUUGUUUUUUGUGUAUUGAAUUUGGGUUUAUGCUUCAUUUUAUUAUCGACAAUGAUAUCAGAACCUAUUUUAAAUCCAACAUCAUGACGAUUUGAUUUUUAUUUGUUUAAUAAUAUUUUGUCCCCUAACUAAUUGGCAAUUGAAAACUUCUACCCUUUGUAUGCAUGAUUAGUUUAGAAAUUUUGUGCAUAAUUAUCAAGCAACGUCGUGAUUACAAUUCUUGAACUCGAUUCCAUGAUAAGGAGUUCAAAUUUUAAAGUCGACCAAAGCAAGUUAGUAUCUUUCACUCUUUUAACAUAUAUUUCCAACUUCAUAUAUAAACAUUUAUUUAUACUCAUGGUUUAGAAACAGGGCUGAAAAAACUCUCUUGAAAGCAGAUACCAUUGGCGGCAGCCAUGGGUUUAUGUGAAGAAGAAAAGAUGCCUCUAUCUCUAUGAGUAGAAUUAUUGCAGUGGGUCACACCUUCGCUUUCAUUUACUUCAACUUCUCAGGUAAUAUUCCAACAUUACAGCGUUGAAUUGUUUGCAAAUUUAUUUACCUCAUAUUCCCACUUUCUUUGAUCUCUCCUUGUCCCAACCACGUUGGAUUUUGAACCAUUUGGUCUUAUAUUACAUAACAUACAAAUGAAAAGAAAAGAAAAACAUUUGCGAUUCCGACCAUAAAUAAAUAAUGUUCUGUUCUGUAACGAGAAACAGCCAAAGCUUCCAGCACUUACAAUAAUAAUAAAAGUAAUGAGGGUAAAGGCUUCAAAGUUUUUUUUUUUUUUGUUUUUUUUUAAAUAAAGGAUAAGGAGUAAGGAUUAUCUUAUGAUCCAACUUAGCAUUAGUGUUUAAUUGAAAAUUUAAAUACAAUAACUUCAAGAUAGAGUACAGUGUCCGUGUGGUGUUUGUUUUUCUACCUUCCCUGCAGGAUCCGAAACUUCCAAUUCAAGUUUCUUGCUAUAGAUAAGGUGUUUCGUAAGAAAACGUAAGUCUUAAAAGAGUUACAAGACAGCACCAGUUAUAUGGCCCUUGCUAGAUUCAUAGUUACUUUCCCAUGUACCGACUCUAAAGUGAAUGACUUUUUUUUUUCUUUGCAUAGCACUUUUUUUUUCCCCGAAAAGGAUAGGUAUCAAAAUGAUAUAUGUAUUUUAGGGCCAACACUCAGAACCACUUUUUGACCACUCAUAGUUUAGUUAAAAUCAAAUUUCGUUCUGUCUUUUGACACACUAUUUUCUCUGUCUAUUGAAAUGCUCUUCUGCUGUUGUUAGCACGCUUUCGUCUCUUGUUUUGCUUGUUGUUUAUUUUCUUUGAUUUAGUCAUUAUUGUAGUUAAGAACAUUGAUGAUUCUAUAGCAGACCUGUCACUGGAGUAUGAUGAAGAUGAAACCAUUCAAUUAGGGGCCGAAUCUUCAGAGAGUGAAACCUUGUAUGCUAAUUGUUUUGUAGGAAUGUUUCUUACCUCCAGUGUAGUUAAUUUCCAAGCGAUGAGAUUGACUUUGGCUAAUUUUUGGCAUCCAAUAGAGGGAGUCUCAAUCUCGAAUCUAGGCAAUGAAAGAUUCUUAUUCAAAUUUUAUUUUGAAGUUGACGUGGACAAAGUUGAAAAAAAUGGGUCAUGGAAUUUCAACUCUCAUCUAUUGGUGCUACAUCGGUUAAAGGAAGAGGAAGACCCUUUAUCUGUUCAAUUAAAUUGGGUAGACUUUUGGAUGCUUAUCCAUGAUCUUCCCCUUGGUUUCAUGUCUGAAGCGGUUGCUAGACAGUUGGAUAGUUUUAUUGGUGUUUUCCUUGAAUAUGAUGCAUCAACGACUCAGUUGGGUUAUAAAAGAAUAAUGAUGUUAAAUGUGCGAAUUGAUGUUAGAAAACCAUUGAAAAAGAAGAAGAAACUCACCUCUCGAAUGGUGAGUGGAUUUAUGUUCGAUUUGAAUAUGAAAAACUCAUUUUAUUUUGUUUCCUUUGUGGUAAACUAAGGCAUGGUAAAACUUUUUACCCGAUCAGAGCUCACAAUCCGCUACAAGAGUAUGUUUUCCGUUGGGAUAUAUCUUUACGUGCUCAGUUAAGGAAAAAUUUGGCUUGGAAGAGUAGAUGGUUGGUGGAGGAUGACGAUUGUGGUACUUUAAUUUAUGGAAACUAUAACACCCCUAACCCUUAUCCGUCGCCGGAACAGGGUUACAAAACAUUACCAGACUUUACAGAUUAAAUAUGAACAUUUCACAACUUUUAUUAUACAUGUUAAGAAUCAGUUAUAAAACACUCAUGUUGUCCCUUAGAUGGACCCUCAAGGCACAAUAUACACUUUAGAAAUGAAUUGGGACUAAACCGGAUACUUAGAGAAUUUUUCCUAAAAUCUCAAAAAAAUUUCUUAAAAGUAGGGGACACACGUCUGUGUGGCUCACACAGCCAGGAGACACACCCGUGUCUUAAGCCGUGUAGGCAUUCGAUGUGAGGCACACAACCGUGUCUCAGCCCGUGCCCUUACCCGUGUAACUCUCUGACUUGGGUCACACGGCCAUCCACAUGCCCGUAUGCUAGGCCGUGUGCAAGAUGUAAAGGUCACACAGCCAAGCCACACACCCGUGUGCUAAGCCGUGUGUAAAAACUUGAGCAUUCUGUUUUAAAAUUUUAAGGUGCAGGGGACACACGGCCAGACCAUACGCCCAUGUGUCAGGCCGUGUGGACGAAAAUAGACCAUUUUCAAUACAUCAAAUAGCCCCAAUCAAACAAUCAACACAAGCCAAAAAUCAUGUUUUAAACAUAAUAUAUCAUCACAAAACUCAAUUGCCAAAACUUACCAAAAUAACUCCGUUCAUUGAUUUACCAAAAUCUACUACUAAAUAUAUGCAUACUAACACAUAUAUAUGUCAUUCACAACCAUACUUCAAAUUUAGCUCUUUUCUAACUCGGCCCUAUACAUGUCAUAUAAACCAUAAAAUGUAUAACAAAAUCUACUGGAGCAAACUAGAUAGUGUGGCUCUAUGUGUUGAUCCGAUGCUUUAAACUUCUUAAAAAUCUAAAAAGAACAUUAAACGACACAGUAAGUUUAAUGAAGCUUAGCAAGUUCGCUGGCUUUAAAUAUAAAUCUUACCGAACAUACUAUAAUAAUUUAUUUAGGUAAAUUAUUUCACAAACAUUUCCUGCCAAUCACAACUUCAAUUAAUGAAUUCACUCAUUUGAGCUCAAUAUCAAUAAUAACUUAAAUUCUUCCACAUUAAUUCCAUUUGGCACUUACCAAUCAUUAUCAAACCAGAGAACGUCUUACGGAUUUGAGUACAUCGUAAAUAGAAAUCCAUAAGGGUUCAUCUAAAGCUCAAAAGAGUUAAACGGAAACCCAUUAGGGUUAAAUUGAAGCUCAAAAGAGCUAAACUGAAAUCCAGAAGCGUUAAUUUGAAACUCAUGAGUUUACUGAAGCUCGUGAGAGCUAAACGGAAAGCAAAUACGAGAGUUCGCAACAAAUGUUGAACAUCGGUUUACUUGGGUAAUUUUACCGUCAAUUCCUAUUUUGCACUAAACGACUAUACUCAAUCCUACGUUCCAUUCACUUCAAACACUUGAUGCAAUUUCAUAAAUUUAACAAUAAUUUUAUUUUCAACAAAUGUUACGAAUAAAUACAAAAAAUCAUUCAUCAAUUAACAUAUCACAUUAAAUUUUAACCAUUAGAACUUACCUGGGUUAAAUUGUGGAAAUUGUAAUGGUUCAGAGAUUAUUUGGCUAUUUUCCCAUUUUUCGCGUUGGUCUAAGGGCUCUUGAUCUAAAAUAUAAAAUUAUUAAUUCAUUAGCACAUGCUUCAAUUCUAAUUCACUUCACAAUUUAUACCACUCAAUUUUUGAAAUUAUACAAUUACCUCAACUUUUACAGUUUUUGUAAUUUAGUCCAUCGCCAAUUAACUCAUCAAAUAAGCUAAUUUUUCUCAAGUAACACUUUAUCUAAAUAUUUUAAACUAUUACACAGCCUUUGAUAAACAUAAUUUAAUACUAAACCCUAAGAUUUAAUUUUUUUACAAUUUGGUCCUAAAAUCAAUUUCCCUUGAAAGCACUUGAUAAAAUCAUCAUAUAACAAAAUUAAAACUUCAAAUCCAUGUUAAUUCAUCAUAAAAAUGCAGCACUCAUCAAUGGUAGCUUUCAAGAUUACUCAUAAAAUCAAAAACUAAUGAAUUAGAUAGUUAGACCUAAUUACAGAAGUCUUAAAAACACAAAUUUUAAGAAAAGAGCAAGAAUUGAACUCACAUGUAGCAAAAUAUGAAAUCCAACUUCUUAAGGGUUCUUCAAUGGUGUUUUUAGCUGAUAAAUUGAAGAAGAAUAACUUAGAAAAGUUGAGAAUUCAAUUUAUUUAAGUUUAUUUCACAAAAUUUACAAUUUUGCCCUUUAAUCACAUGAUUUUUGUUUUCUUUUCUGCUUAUGCCGCCUCAGGCCUUUGUUUUAGGCAUAAUUGCUCCUUAAGUCCUUCUUUGUUCAUUAAUUAAGUCAUUUAAUCAUUAUUUCUUUAAUUAGCAAGUUUUGCACCUUUUUCUAAUUUAAUCUUUUUUAAUUAAUUAACUAUCGAAACGUUAAAAUUUUCUAACGAAAUAUUUAUAAAAAUAUUUACAGCUCAGUUUAUAAAAUCGAGAUCUUGAUACCUCGUUUUCAAAACUAGUUAAUCUAACAAAUAUUUCUAAAGCAUAAAUCACUAAUUCAUAAGCCUUCUUAAAUUCAGAAUCGAAUCAAAAACACUAUAUAAUAAAAUUUAUGAAUUAAUUUAUCGGAUUUAGUGUUCUCAAACUACUAUUUUCGAAACUACUGAAAAUUGGACUGUUACAAAAACUCUAUAAAAAUACGGAAAGGAGAAAUUUUGAGGUUUCAUAAUCUGUUUGCAUAAAUCAAUGAGCAAAUUCAGAAUUUAUUUCCAAUUAUUCCCUCUCAACAAAAGGAAUGGUGAAUGUCUAGUUGACUUCAAGCCCAAUAAAUAUGGGUGAAAUGGGUCGAGCUUACAACGAAGCUAGGAACAUCUUUGAUGCGAAUAUGGCAAUUUAUGAGGAGGAGAAUAACCCAAUAAAAUAAAGUGAUGGGCUAAAAAGACCUUUUUUUAAGUCUACUUCAGGAGUUUCUAAUAAGGAAGAUUUGAAUGAAGUUUCGGGUACUCUAUUACAGGUACCAAAUUCUAGUAGAUCGCCAGGCCCUGCUAAGUGGGCUAGUCGGAUGCAAUGAAGCUGUUGAGUUGGAACAUUCAGGUAAAGGGGAGGUCUUGGACAGUUUGUUGUCUCCAGCAUAUGCUGAGAGAUAUAAAUCUCUCUAUAGUGUUCCUAAUUGAGAUGAAACUAUAGGGUUUUAAUAUGGAAGGAACAAGACGCAAAUGUGGAUUUCUUAAUGGGAUGGAUGUUGAUUCAUAUGGUAGAAGUGAGGGUUUAUCAAUGGGUUGGAGUAGCGAUUAUAAGAUUUGUCUUCGGUCUUUUUCGAGAAGGGACAUUGGCAUUAUGAUUGAUAAGGAUACUGAUGGUAAAACUUGGUGAUGUACGGGGUUUUAUGAAGUGCCCGAGGAGAAUCUGAGGAGGCAUCGUAAAAUUUAUUGCAUUCUUUAGAUGACUGCCCACAUAUCCCUAUGUUUGUAAUAGGGGAUUUUAAUGAAAUAGCUUAUUCAUCUGAAAAGAAAGGUGGAUUACUUCAGAGGGAGAGACAAAUGAGAAGAUUUUGGGAAGCUCUUUAUGAUUGCUCUCUUACAGAUUUGGGCUAUAGAGGACAAUGGUUUACCUGGGAAAAAGGUCGUACUCGAGCAAACAAUAUUAGGAAACGUUUGGAUCAAAGGGUAGCUAAUGCAGUUUGAUGGGAUUUAUUUCAAAAUUACAAAAUGCAUCAUCUCACGCAUUCUUUUUUAUUGCAAUCAGAUUUUGAAAAUAAUCAUGCGAAAUGGUGUCACUUCAAGUUCGAGGUUGCGUGGCUUUUGGAAGAAACGUGUGAGUCAAAUGUUCUAAAAUUAUAGACUGAAAAUUUGGGUGAUGUCCUUAAUAGAUUGAAGGUGUUUGGUGUGGGCCUUAAAGCGUGGUUCAAAAGGAUUAAAAAGAUAGGGGUUUGUCGAAAAAAGAUCUUAAGAAGCAAUUCAUUAAGUUGAACAAAUCAUACCUAACUGAUGAGGUGUUGGGUGAUAUUGUUGAGAUAAAACUAGCCCUUAAUAUGGAGGCCGGUAGGGAGGAACUCUACUGGGAACAAAGAGCCAGAGCUAAUUGGAUGAAAAAUGGUGACCGAAACACAAAAAUUGCAACAAAAAGAAGACGAAGGAAUAUGAUGGAUAAACUACUAGAUUUUGAUGAAAAUUAUUAUAAGAGCAAUGAGGAGCAGUUGUCACUUGCCACUGACUACUUUGCCUCUCUAUUCACUUCAACUAGAAUCGAAAAUCCAGGUUCUAUAUUAGAAGGGGUUGAGCCGUGCAUUACUCGAGCAAUGAACGAGGAACUUGCAAAGGAUUUUUCUUACGAGGAUAUUUGUAUGGCGUUAAAAUCAUGAAUACAUUAAAGACUUCUGGUGAGGAUGACUUGGGUGCAAUUUUUUAUCAAUGGUUUUGGCAUAUUAUGGGUAAAGAGGUAGCAAAUUAUUGUAUUGAGAUUUUAAAUGGAGGCACAAUAUCGCUGAAAUCAACCAGACACAAAUUGUUUUAAUCCCUAAGGUUAGCUGUCCAUGAAUUAUGGCUCUAUUUAAACCGAUUAGCCGUUAUAAUACCCUUUACAAAAUUAUUGCAAAAAUGCUAGUGAAUAGGUUUUAAAAAGUCUUUCACUAUUGUAUAGAUGAGGUACAAAGUGCAUUUGUACCAGGGAGGCUUAUCACUGAUAAUAUUUUAGUUGUCUAUGACGUUUUACACUCCAUGAAAAAGAAAAAGAAAAAGAUAAGAGAUGAAGGGUCUUUUGCUUUGAAGCUUAACAUGAGUAAAACGUAUAAUAGACUAAAGUGUGCGCUCAUUAAUGUCAUGCUUAGCCGAAUGAGUUUCUCGAAGUUGUGGGUUCAGAAAAUUAUGAGAUGUAUUGAAAUGAUUUCUUAUUCUGUGGUUAUGAGCGGAGAGGUGGGUAAUUUGUUUCUUCCUUAUCGGGGGCUUAAACAAGGGGGCCCACUUAAUCCUUAUUUAUUUCUUAUUUGGGGAAGGUCUGUCAUCUUUUCUUAGAAUGGCUGCUACAAGUGGGGAUCUCAAGGGUGCUUGCAUUAAGAGACACGCUCCAGUUAGCACCCACUUGUUAUCUUUGCAAAUGACAGUCUUAUCUUUGGAAAGGCCACAACAGAUGGGGCUAUGGUGCUUAAUGAAAGACUGGAGAUUUAUGCCAAUAGUUUGGGUCAAUUAAUAAUUUUUGAUAAGUCUGGUAUGUUUUUAGUUCCAAUGUUGAGUAGAAUAGCAAAAAAGAGGUUUAUCGAAUUUUAGGGGUUAAUCCAAACAUUAAUCCAGAAAAGUAUAUUGGUCUCCUUUAAAUCGUGGGGCAAAACAAAAAGAGGGCUUUUAGGGAGAUAAAAGAAAAUCUAAUUAAAAGAGUGUUUAGUUAGAGUUCGAGAAUGCUUUCGGUGGGUAUAAAAGAGGCCCUUAUCAAAAUAGUAUUUCAGGGAGUUCCCAUGUAUACCAUUUCUUAUUUCUUGAUGCCCAAUUCCUUUUGUAAGGAACUUGAAACUGUUAUUGCUAGAUUUUGGUGACAGAAGAAAGCUGGGAGGAAUGGUUUACAUUGGAGUUCUUGGAAACCAUUGUGUAUUCCAAAAGAGGAUAAAGGUAUGGGUUUCCGUAAUCUUUCUAAAUUUAAUAUUUCUUUAUUAGCAAAACAAUGUUAGAGAUUGAUGGAAAAUCCAGGCUCGUUAACAAGAUUAAUUCGAGAAAAAUAUUAUCACGGUUUAAAUUUUCUAGAAGCCCCAUUGGGCUCAUACCCGUCCCUAAUUUGGAAAAGUAUAUGGUGUUCCAAAGCUUUGUUAAAAUCUGGUAUUGGAUGAAGGAUUGGUUCUGGGCUAUCUAUCUUGAUAUGGCAAGACUAUUGGUUACCGAGGAAGAAUAGAGCACUAAUUACUACAAACAAGGUAGCAAGAUUGGAAUGUGUAAGUGAUUUGAUUCUCCCAAACCCAAAUAGAAGAGAUCGACAAUUAAUCUACUCAACUUUCACGGAGGAAGAAGGAAAUUUGAUUGUAAGAAUCCCUAUACCUAUCACUAAUCAAUCUGAUAAAGUAAUAUGGUCUAGAGAAAAAUCAGGUUUUUAUUCAGUAAAAAGCAGUCACAAAGCCUUCAUCGAACUUCUCAUUUGAGUACUAUUGAGCAAUAUAAUUUUAAGCAAAUUUGGAGUUUAACGUGCCUAUCAAAAAUUCACAUUUUAAUGUGAAAAUUUGCAAAUAUAUAUAUUCCUACUUUCCAGAAUUUGCAUUAUAGAAGAAUUUUGUCAGAGAAUAGUUACCCGCGCUGUCAGGAUUGUAGUAAAUCACAUGUUCAUGUUGCUCGAUACUGUGCAUUCACUAUGCAUGUUUGAUCAAAAUUAAAUUAUCAGUGGCCAAGUUCAAUGCGUCUAUGAGUUUUAACAACUGGUUAAACUGGCUAUUCAUAAAUUCAUCCAGUAACAGUAAAGGGGAAAUAGCCAUUACAAUUUGGGCAAUCUGAUUUUCCCGCAACAAACUGAUACAUGAAAGAAAAGUACAAAGUGUGGAGGAAGUUGUUACCUUUAUCAGGGGUUAUGGCAGGGAGUACAAGAGGCGUUUUGGAAUAUUACAACACCCCUGACCCAGAUAGUUGAUAAAAUGGGAGCCCCCCCUACGAAUUGGGUCAAAGUGAAUGUUGACGUCGGUUUCUCAGAGGCAAAACAACAUGCAACAUUGGGUUUCUUAAUUAGAAAUGAUGAAGGUCUUAAAAUAGGGUCGGGAAUCAGAACUCAUAACCUAGUUAGAUCGGUGGUGUUGGCUAAAGCGAUGGCUGCUCUUCACGGGCUCUAGUUUGCGUUGGAGAUGGGUUUCACGAAAAUUAUUUUGGAAAGUGACUCUAAAACAAUUAUUAAAAACCUCCAAGCAACAAAGGAAGACUAUUCAGAGAUAAGACCGAUUACUUGGGAUGUGAAGGCUCUUACAAUGAAAUUUUCUUCAUGUCAUUUUGAGUUCGUUGCGGGAGAAGGUAACGCAGUGGCGCAUGCGAUGGCGGUCGAAGGGAUGAGAAGAUCAGAAGACUCGUUCUGGGUUGAAGAUGCCCUAUUAAAAGCGAUGGAAAUGGCAGAUUUGGAUCGUCUUUUCAUCUGGCCACCAUAAUUUCCCUCCUCUGCUGCUCGCUGCUCUGGGUUGAGAACUUCUGAUAUUCUAAAGGUAUAUCUCAACUCCCUUCCAUUGUUUGCUAGUUCUGAUUACCAGAUCUCGCAAGGUUUUGGCUGUUUGGGUUUUCUGGUCACUGAAGGGUUUGGAAGAAGCUUCUAGAGUUGCAUCAUGUUUUAUUUUCUUUAUUUUAUCUGUUUGAACUUCAUUUUCUAUCUGCUUUUGUUUUGGACUUCCAAGCCCAUUUUAAUCAAAAUGAACCGUUUAUUCAAAAAAAAAAAUAACUUUUUGACAAAAAAAAUACUUUUAAGCAAAAGCUAAAAAUUUUUAGUUUUGCUUUUGAUAAAAAAAAUAAUUUUGUAAAAUAUUUUUUUAUCUCAAAAAUAUUUUUAAAAAGCUCAAAAGUAUAUUGUUUAGUAAUAUUUUCAAAUCAAAAGUAUUUUUUGUCUCAAAAAUACUUUUGAAAAGUAAUACUAAUCAGACUCAAAAGUAAUUACGAUUUUUUUGUGUCCUUAGACACCGAUAGACACUCAAUUUGAUUGUUGGAACUGAAAAAAAAAGAAGUGUUACUUUCAUGUAUUUUCCAAUUAUUAUAUAUAAGGAGAUGGUAGUGAAACACUUUUUUUUCUCAAUUAAAAAAAAAAUUUAAGUGAGUAGUUUAUGGGAGAGUGAGUAGUUUUCUUUUUAGAUCUGACUUUUUUAAAGGUUGGAAUUAAUGAAUAUAAAAGUAAAAAGAUUGGUAAAUAUUGAUUAUUUACUGUUUUGUUCUACAUUUUCUUGAUUUAUAUUAACUUUUAAAGAGAUUUUAGUAACGUCAGUUAAGACCAUAAACUUAAUCAGAAAUAGUAAAAAACUUUAUGGCAGAAAAAAGUAAAAAAUAACUAAAAAAGAAAAAGGGAACUAAAAUAUGAUAACCUCUUAAUCCACUAAUGAAAUAAAAAUUUCACUAUUUAUAAUCUACUUCCCUUUUCCGGGCCAGUGUUUCAAACUAGAAACUUCUUUGGGUCAUCUUCAUAUUAGAUUGAAGCCCGAUUUUAGGUUUAUGUACCAAAACCAAAAAUUAGUUAUGUUUGGUAAAUGAAUUUGAAUACAUGCACCACCACUCUCAAUGCUCACCCACCUAAGCCCAUGACAUAAACUGCAUUUAAGUGAACCAGUGGCAGUUGGAGCCAUUAUGUUGGUUGAAAAAUAUUGUUGGCAGUGUUAUUCAGCAGUACUUGUUCUAAGGCUCCUACUACAUUUCUCAUUAUAAAUGUGGAGAAAUCUUGUUCUACUUUCCAUUCCAUGCAACACUAACUUUUAGAUUCCCUUUCCAUUGCACUGCUCUUUCUUUCUAUAGAAUUAGUCACUCCUGUUCUAGAUGAAGGUUCUCUCCCCAAUUCUUGCUUGCCUAGCGGUAAGUUUUUCGAUUUCAUGUGAUUAUUCGUUGUUGAAUGCAAAGAACUAUGAAGGGUUUUUUUUUACCUCAACUUUUCUUGUUUGUUAUUUGUUGUUACAGCUUGCUGUGGUGGUAAGCCAUGCUGCUCUCUCACCUGAGCAAUAUUGGAGCUAUAAGCUGCCAAAUACUCCAAUGCCAAAGGCUGUCAAAGAAAUUCUACAUCCAGGUGAGUGUUUAAUAUCCCAAGAAUUCUUUUUUUUUUUUUUGAAUCAUGUUUACUCACCGACAAAACAGGACUACUGUGAUAUAAGCCCUCAACUUGAGAUGGUCAGGAAAGUGAGGACUGUAGAAUAUCAGACCCUGGUUUCCCAUAGAAUUGAAUUGAGCCUAAUGCAGCAAACAAUCAUGUAAUCGUGGAAGCCGGGUAAUAAUCAGAAAUGAGGUGCUUAACAUAGUUCUGUUCCUGCAAUUUAUUAAAAGAGAAAGAGCCAGGAUACUUUCUGUUUAGCAAUAUAUUUCAGAAAACAUAGGAAUAGGAUGUGUUCUGCACAUAUUGACUUAUUAUGAAAAAAAUUGUUGGAAUCAUGCAUUCAUCAGCAUGUAUAUGAGCUCUCUAGCCCAUUUUGGUGUAUUUGCAGAACUGAUGGAGGAGAAAAGCACCUCUGUAAAUGUAGGAGGUGGUGGUGUAAACGUCAAUACAGGAAAAGGGAAGCCUGGGGGUGACACCCAUGUGAACGUUGGAGGCAAAGGAGUUGGAGUGAACACGGGAAAGCCAGGGGGUGGCACUCAUGUGAAUGUUGGAGACCCUUUUAAUUACCUAUAUGCAGCCAGUGAAACUCAAAUCCAUGAAGACCCGAAUGUGGCUCUUUUCUUUCUGGAAAAGGAUAUGCACCCCGGGGCAACAAUGAGCCUGCAUUUCACUGAAAAUACAGAGAAAUCAGCUUUCUUACCUUAUCAAACUGCCCAAAAAAUACCGUUUUCAUCUGACAAGUUGCCAGAAAUUUUCAACAAGUUUUCAGUGAAACCUGGAUCACUGAAGGCAGAGAUGAUGAAGAACACAAUUAAGGAGUGCGAACAGCCAGCGAUUGAAGGAGAGGAAAAAUAUUGUGCAACCUCACUGGAGUCAAUGAUUGACUAUAGCAUUUCCAAACUAGGGAAAGUUGAUCAGGCAGUCUCAACAGAAGUGGAAAAACAAACCCCAAUGCAAAAGUAUACAAUAGCAGCUGGAGUGCAGAAGAUGACAGAUGACAAAGCUGUAGUGUGCCACAAGCAGAAUUAUGCAUAUGCUGUCUU
rnacentral:lncRNA from 1 species